rnacentral:rRNA from 1 species
CCUACGGGUGGCAGCAGUGGGGAAUAUUGCACAAUGGGGGAAAGCCUGACGCAGCGACGCCGCGUGAGUGAAGCAGUAUUUCGGUAUGUAAAGCCCUAUAAGCAGGGCAGAAAAUGACGGUACCUGCUUAAGAAGCCCCGGCUAACUCCGUGCCAGCAGCCGCGGUAAUACGUAGGGUGCAAGCGUUAUCCGGAUUCACUGGGCGUAAAGGGUGCGUAGACGGCAGCACAAGUCUGGUGUGAAAUGCCGGGGCUCAACCCCGGUACUGCAUUGGAAACUGUGGAGCUAGAGUGCGGGAGAGGUAAAUGGAAUUCCUGGUGUAGCGGUGAAAUGCGUAGAUAUCAGGAGGAACACCAGUGGCGAAGGCGGCUUACUGGGCUGUAAUUGACGUUGAGGCUCGAAAGCGUGGGGAGCAAACAGGAUUAGAUACCCUUGUAGUC